GAAACCGUGUACGUACAAGCAGUAGGAGCAGGCUUGUCCUGUGACUGCGUACCUUUUGUAUAAUGGGUCAGCGACUUAUAUUCAGUGGCAAGGUUAACCAUCUAGGGGAGCCGUAGGGAAACCGAGUCUUAACUGGGCGUUCAGUCUCUGGAUAUAGACCCGAAACCAGGUGAUCUAGCCAUGGGCAGGUUGAAGGUUGAGUAACAUCAACUGGAGGACCGAACCGACUAAUGUUGAAAAAUUAGCGGAUGACUUGUGGCUAGGGGUGAAAGGCCAAUCAAACCUGGAGAUAGCUGGUUCUCCCCGAAAGCUAUUUAGGUAGCGCCUCGGACGAAUACUACUGGGGGUAGAGCACUGUUAAGGCUAGGGGGUCAUCCCGACUUACCAACCCUUUG
rnacentral:rRNA from 1 species